GACGGGGGGAGGACGGUUUUUGGGGUGUAAUGGGAGUCUUCGGAGGAGGAGGUUGCGUUGGAUCCGAAGGAGGAGGCCUCGGAUCGGGAGACCGAGCGAGAUUUCUUCUUCGAAGAGCCGAAGAAGGCCGCCCGAAGGCUAACAAAUUUCAUGGUUUCUGGCUUUGGGCUUUGGAGGGAGAGGGAGGGACGGGGGAAAGAAGGGAGGGAGUGGGGUGGGGUUAAAGAAGGCGAAGUGGGGAGGUGGGGGGUGCAGUGGGCUUCGAGGAAGCUUCGCGGAGGGGAAAAUGCGGCACAAUGUUCUCGCCAGUCGUAUGCCAUCUU
rnacentral:lncRNA from 1 species